AUUGAACGCUGGCGGCAGGCUUAACACAUGCAAGUCGAGCGGAGUGAUGGUGCUUGCACUAUCACUUAGCGGCGGACGGGUGAGUAAUGCUUAGGAAUCUGCCUAUUAGUGGGGGACAACAUCUCGAAAGGGAUGCUAAUACCGCAUACGUCCUACGGGAGAAAGCAGGGGAUCACUUGUGACCUUGCGCUAAUAGAUGAGCCUAAGUCGGAUUAGCUAGUUGGUGGGGUAAAGGCCUACGAAGGCGACGAUCUGUAGCGGGUCUGAGAGGAUGAUCCGCCAGACUGGGACUGAGACACGGCCCAGACUCCUACGGGAGGCAGCAGUGGGGAAUAUUGGACAAUGGGGGGAACCCUGAUCCAGCCAUGCCGCGUGUGUGAAGAAGGCCUUAUGGUUGUAAAGCACUUUAAGCGAGGAGGAGGCUUACCUAGUUAAUACCUGGGAUAAGUGGACGUUACUCGCAGAAUAAGCACCGGCUAACUCUGUGCCAGCCGCCGCUGUAAAAC
rnacentral:rRNA from 1 species